rnacentral:lncRNA from 1 species
UCACGUGGUGGAUAAGAUAGAAUAUCCUGAGCAUUUGUUGCUACAACUACCAUACUCAUCAAAGACUUCAUCCACUCUUGUUACAGUUUCAAGGUAUUUUAUUAAGGUAAGGACAUAAUACCCAAUCAUCAUACUCGUUAGGAAACACCUUGAAACUGUAACAACAGUGGAUGUAGUGUCGGAUGUGAACAUAGACAAUACUGGUAGUUUGAAAGCUGCUAAAAGAAGCAAGGGCAACAUUUAGGGGAAAGGGAAUACACAGACGAACCCAGGAUUAAAAACAUCCUCAAAAUUGGGAAAGUUUUCUGAGAGAUGACGACAGUAAGAAAGAACUUUUAAGUUUUCAUUCACAGGAGCUUGCUCAAUACAAUUUUGAGUACAAGGUAGUUGAAGCAACAAAUGCUCAGGAUGUUCAGUGUUAUCCACCACUUGAUGAUGUUUCAAGUUUAGCACCAUGUUUACACGAAGAGACUGACACUAGAAUCAAGAUAGAUGUGUCUGAUGCAGUGAAACAUAGACUUAACUGAGUCAUGACUCAAACAGUCGAUACUGAUGUCAUUGCUGUUUCGCUAUUCCGUGACAUAGGGGCAGACAAACUUUGGUUUGCAUUUGGAAGGGGAAAAGUAUAAGAUAUAUAUCAAUCAAUGACCUUUCAAAUGCACUAGGCAUUAAAAGAUAACACGUUUGCUGGAAAAGGAACUGCGUUGGUGACAUUAAUGGAGUUUGAAGAUGUGACUAUAGCAUUU